GAUGAACGCUGGCGGCGUGCCUAAUACAUGCAAGUCGAGCGAACAGACGAGGCUCUUGCUCCUCUGACGUUAGCGGCGGACGGGUGAUUCACACGUGUCUGCCCUACCUAUAGGACUGGGAUCACUUCGGGAAACCGGAUCUAAUACCGGAUAAGAUAUUGAACCUCAUGGUUCAUUAGUGCAAGACGUUUUUGCUGUGCCUUAUUGGUGGUUCCUCGCCGCAUUAGCUAGUUGGUAGGGUAACGGCUUACCAAGGCAACGAUGCGUAGCCGACCUGAGAGGAUGAUCGGCCACACUGGAACUGAGACACGGUCCAGACUCCUACGGGAGGCAGCAGUAGGGAAUAUUCGGCAAUGGGCGAAAGCUUGACGCAGCAAUGCCGCGUGAGUGAAGAAGGUCUUCGGAUUGUAAAGCUCUUUAAGUAGGGAGGAACAACAGUAAAUGAAUCCCUGCACGUCUUGACGGUACCUACAGAAAAAGCACCGGCUAACUUCGUG
rnacentral:rRNA from 1 species